UACGCUGCGGCGGAUCUGUCAUUUAAAUUAGAUUGUGACAAUUAUAUGGAUAGUCUGGUUGAGAUGAUAUAUGAGUUGCUCACUUUAUCUAUGCCGUGAUUUAAUUUCUGCCAGAGAUGCACUGAGUUAGGACCCCGUCAUCCUCUCACCGGACCUACGCUGAACAGAGCUAGGCCCAACCCGCAUGCUUCCCGUUAGCAGCUCGAAGGAUUUAGAGCUGGAGGUGGACUAAUAGCAACAUUUUAAUGAGAAGAAAGAUGUAGAAGGACAUCUUCAUUUCACACGAAGGAAUAGGCGCCUGCCUGGAAGUUUAAGGUCACAGAGAGAGGCUGAAGCAGAGGAGGGGAAAAAAAUGCACCUGUCUGAAUUGCCAGCCUGCAGACCCAGGCUCCCUCUGCAAUCACUGCCACUGUUCCAUGAGGUACUGAUCUCCAGUGCUGGUUCUUUUGUUGCUCCCUUCCUGUGAGGAACAGAGGAAUCAGUGAAUCUUCCAAGUGAGAAGGAACUUCCC